rnacentral:rRNA from 1 species
GUGUCAGCAGCCGCGGUAAUACGUAGGGGGCAAGCGUUGUCCGGAAUCAUUGGGCGUAAAGCGCGUGUAGGCGGCCCGGAAAGUCUGGUGUGAAAUCUUGGGGCUCAACCCCAAACUGUCGCCGGAUACUAUCGGGCUUGAGUCUGGAAGAGGAGUGUGGAAUUCCUGGUGUAGCGGUGGAAUGCGCAGAUAUCAGGAGGAACACCAAUGGCGAAGGCAGCACUCUGGUACAUGACUGACGCUGAGACGCGAAAGCGUGGGUAGCAAACAGGAUUAGAUACCCUGGUAGUCCACGCCGUAAACGAUGGAGGCUAGGUGUAGGAGGUGUCGACUCCUUCUGUGCCGAAGCUAACGCAUUAAGCCUCCCGCCUGGGGAGUACGGCCGCAAGGCUAAA